GCCUCGAACUUUUCGUCGUCUUCUUCCCUCUUCCUCCCUCCUCGCGCUCUCGCUGCAACAAAACCCUAGCGACCAAAUCAACCAUGGGAAAGGUGCACGGAUCUCUUGCGCGUGCGGGGAAGGUGAAGGGCCAAACGCCGAAGAUGGAGAAGACGAACUUGAGAGGGAAGCCGUACGGCCGCGCCCGCAAGCGCAUGCAAUACAACCGCCGAUUCGUCACCGCCGUUGUUGGAUUUGGGAGGAAGAGAGGGCCUAACUCGGGCGAGAAGUCUAAAUAGUCGAAGAAGUAAAGAUGGAGAUCGAUACACAGCUGGUAGUAGCUGCUAACUAUUCUAAACUCGUUCCGCCCUUUUAUUUUCUAGGGUUUUGUUUUUAGCGUUACUAUAGUUUGUUAUAGUUGAGUUGACCAGCGUUAUGAGACUGCUUUACGGGACUACAGUUUUGCUGGGAUGAUAGUACAUUGAUCCCUUCUUUCAGAUAUUAACAUAGUUGGAUUCUUCCGUGGAUAAUAUACCUUAGUAGUUUACUGAUUUCCCUCAAAAGUUGGCUUGUUUUGGUGUUCCUUUAUGCUUGAUGUUUUUUUUUUAUGUGACCAUGAUAUUUGUUUAUUUUCACUAGUAAGUGAAGACCGAAGAAUGAUGCUCUUGUUCUUUCGAAUAUUUAUUACGACUGCUUGGGCGAGGGUUGGUUGAUCAUCUCAGUGCUCCCCUUUUUGAAGGACACAAGUUUUCAUGUGUAAAUGGGUUUUUUGGCGGAAUAGGUAUGUGGUCGAGUAUCCAAUACAGAGUGGAAGGGAUUAACUGGGAGGGAUUUACAAGGUGGAGAAUAUGAACUAAGAAGGUUUUUGGUAGGACAUAUAGCAAUUGUAGUGGAGGUUUUUGGUGUAUAGGGACUUGGGGAGUAAACCAAAGCUUAGUUGAAGAUAAUAUUUUGAGAUAGGGCCAUUCACUCACACUCUUCAAAGUUUUGGUUAUUGAAACCAAAGUGACUACGUACACAAUUUCAUUGAUUUAAAAGGUGCUGCAAAAUUCUUCUUCUUAACUAGUGUUUGAAUGAAAAUUACAGGUAGAAGCCAGAAACAAUAUGUUCCUUUUGUCUUCUUGAGAAAUAGAGGAUGAAUGACUGACUAUGUAGAGUGGUUGUAGCAAACUACAGGUUGAAGUGGAGUCCAAUUAUUUAUAUACAUGCUCUUUUUUGUGAUGUCCUUUAA